rnacentral:tRNA from 1 species
GGAGAUGUGCCCGAACUCCUAGGGGCCAUUUUGAUAGAAUGAACAUGGGGGUUAAAGCCCUCCCGUCUCCU